rnacentral:rRNA from 1 species
UUGUCUCAAAGAUUAAGCCAUGCAUGUCUAAGUACAUACCUUAUGCACGGUGAAACCCGACGAAUGGCUCAUUAAAUCAGUUAUGGUUCCUUAGAUCGUUCAUAUUACAUGGAUAACUGUGGUAAUUCUAGAGCUAAUACAUGCAAAAAGCUCCGACCGUAUGGGAAGAGCGCUUUUAUUAGACCAAAACCAAUGGGGUCGAAAGAUCCCUUUGUCUGGUGACUCUGGAUAACUUUGUGCUGAUCGCAUGGCCUCGAGCCGGCGACGUAUCUUUCAAAUGUCUGCCCUAUCAACUUUCGAUGGUAAGCGAUUUGCCUACCAUGGUUGUAACGGGUAACGGGGAAUCAGGGUUCGAUUCCGGAGAGGGAGCAUGAGAAAUGGCUACCACAUCUACGGAAGGCAGCAGGCGCGCAAAUUACCCACUCCUAGAUCGGGGAGGUAGUGACGAAAAAUAACAAUACCGGACUCUAUGAGGCUCGGUAAUUGAAAUGAGUACAGUUUAAAACCCUUAACGAGGAUCUAUUGGAGGGCAAGUCUGGUGCCAGCAGCCGCGGUAAUUCCAGCUCCAAUAGCGUAUAUUAAAGUUGUUGCAGUUAAAAAGCUCGUAGUUGGAUCUCGGGUACUAGCAUGUGGUACGCUUAAUUGCUGUCACUACAUGUCUGGUCCUAAUCAAUCGGUUGGCCGUUGAUGCCCUUUAUUGGGUGUUUUCGGUAGCCGAUACGUUUACUUUGAGAAAAUUAGAGUGCUUAAAGCAGGCCAUACGCCUGAAUAAUGUUGCAUGGAAUAAUAGAAUAGGACCUCGGUUCUAUUUUGUUGGUUUUGUAGAGCAUUGAGGUAAUGAUUAAUAGGGACAGACGGGGGCAUUCGUAUUGCGGUGUUAGAGGUGAAAUUCUUGGAUCGCCGCAAGACGAACAACUGCGAAAGCAUUUGCCAAGAAUGUUUUCAUUAAUCAAGAACGAAAGUUGGAGGUUCGAAGACGAUUAGAUACCGUCCUAGUUCCAACCAUAAACGAUGCCAACUAGCGAUUAGCUGCUGUUACUUAAACGAACACAGCUAGCAGC